UUAAUUACACGUAAGUCAAUUAUUACUAUUUAGUGCAUUGUGGAUGAGCCCAUUAGACGAAUUCGACGAGUCCUAAUUCGCUCCUUAGAAAGAACUAAACACGUAAUCAUUACUAAGCCAAAACAAUUCACAUGUAAUUGCAGUGUAACUACGUGCGUUUGCAGAUUUAGUGUAGUUUUUUUUUACUUUUAUGUACAUCUUUAACCAUCCAAUGUAAACCUUUUCGUUUGUCCCGAGGAAGGGACAGAUCGUCCCGAAAAUUUGACAAUGUAAUUCUUCGUGUAGUUGGUCAUUUUAACGCUUUAAAUAAUUCUUGUAUUUGACCUUGUAUACGCAUAAAAUUUAGGCCUAUGUUCGGCGCUGACGACCUUUGAACAAGGCGUAUCCUUGUCGUGUCACACCGCUAUUGUUGGAACCGAGUACGUGUAUAAAUAUUUAAGGAAUGAAUUUAAUUUUUGGGCAUAUUAUUCGAUAUUACCCGAUUGCCUCGGGGAUUAUAAAGCGAAAACUGAUCCUAAUCAGGUUAUAUCGUAUAAGAUGCCCCAAUAUUGAAUGUAUUCCUUAGAAUCUAAUGCACAAAGACAAAAGGACUAAUCUUCGUUUAUCAAAAUGUACAAACACACUGGUGUAACUACGGUUCAUCUGCGCCGCGCUAGGAUUGACCUAGCAACUGCUAACAAAGCGUCUCGGUUCUUCGGAGCAUGUAGUUUAGGCAUACAUGUAUAUAUUGGGAAAAUCUAUAAGCCCGUGAUCUGGGGAAAUAAACAACACCGGAAGUUUCGUGAACUCAAGUACACAGAAACUGAAUACGUCAUUGAAUGUACUUUGGACUCUCCCUUCGACUCACCGCCCCUUUGCCGACGACCUUGCAGUAGCUAAAGAAAAAUAGCCAUAGUUUGAAUUUGGAAUAGUAUACUCAAUGGUAGAUCAUAUGUUUCGUCCGUGUGGUGAUUUUUAACAAACAAAAUGGCUCACAGCUGGUGUGACCGGUCGACAGGGGAUGCUUACUCCUCCUAGGCACCUGAUCCCACCUCUGGUGUGUCCAUGGAUCCGUGUUUGCCCAACUCUGUAUUUUGUAUUUUUAAAUUUCAGAUGUUGAGCAAAGAAGAAAUUAAAAGAUUUACAUGCAUCAUUCUUUUAUAUCAUGUUUAUUUUGCACAUGAGCUUCAUGUCUUCCUGUUAAGACUCUCUCAUUCUGCAAAAUAGAAGAAAACAUAUGAAG